GGCCUCGUAGUGUAUGUCACAUGUCGAAUUGCAAAUUCGGAGAAGCAAUUUCAAAUUGCCGAGGCUU
rnacentral:tRNA from 1 species